GUGGCCGCCCUGGUCAGUGAAAGCGGGAGAGGAAGAGUUGUAAGCGAUUUCCCACGGGGAGGUGCCCGCAGACCUCUCCUGGACUGGCCAUGCCCACGCCCAGGAGCCCCAGCCCUGCAUCUGCUCCUCGUCCACCUCUUGGCGGAAUGGAAGAAGCAUCAUGCCGACUGAAGUAAUUUACAAACACCUUGCAGGGCAAGAACCGGGUUCCCUGAGGAGCACAGUGAAUGGCUCACAGCCGUGGACAAAGAAGGGACCAGCGAGAGCAAAACAGGACAAGGCAGUGUGCCAGAGCUGGGGUGGGGGAUGUGUGCCACCCGCUGCCCCUGUCACCGGAUCUCAUGUGCCAGCUCCACACAUUUCCAGUGCUCCACCGGCCUUUCGUUCAGCUGCAACACCGUGUCCAGCUGCUGCAGCCCAGCCCGCUCCGCCGGGCCCCCUGCAGGGACAAAGAAAACCCAUUCAGGGACCUCUAAAGCCCAAGACUCCCUCAAAAGACCGGGAGUCCUUCGCUUCCAUGGUGACUUCGGACAAGAACCGCCCUUUUUCUCUCUGUGUCUUUAUCUGUGAAAUGAGGGGCCAAACUGAGUGGCUCUCCAGGUCCUGGAAGGGAGGCACCCUUUGCCCUCACCUCCUCCCUGCCUCCUGCCCCACAAGUGCUGGCUCACCUCUCUGCCCGUCCUUCCCUCCCCAGGGACAGGCUCACACUCUUCAUCCUUUCUUCCCACCUCAUUCAUUAAGUGCCAACUGCAUGCCCAUCCCAGUGCAGGCAUGGGGGACACCUGAUCACUGAGUCGUGGCUUCUGCCCAUAAAGCGCACACUCUGUGAUGAGCCAUCUUUCACCCGUGAAAAGUAAAGAGAAGGAAUGGCUAAUUUUAUGUGCUAAGCAGGCUUACAAUAGGGUAAAAUACCCACUCCAAAUGCAGC